rnacentral:lncRNA from 1 species
GUUUCACUAAAAAAGAAAGUAGUAUUACUUGUGGUUUUCAGCAAUUGUGACACAUUUCCCAAUUAGCUUUCUCUAUGCCCUGUUCCAGUAUUUCUGAUCCCAAACAAGAUAAGAGGACUAGAUCUGUAUAUUUUGUUUUUCCUUCUGAGGAUAGUAGACCUUCAAAUAGGACUCAGUGCUUUCAGUCAGAAUUAUAUUCUAUUGAGAUGGAUCUAGAGUCCUUUAAGAUAAUCUUGGGCUCUAAUGACAAGACUAAGUCACUAUUUCUGCAAAGGAACAAAAUCUGGUUUGGCUUGUUGGCAAUGAUGGGGAUUCUGAUAGUUUUACUGUGCCUUCAAAUAUACUAGUUAUGAAGAGUGCACAGAUGUGCUCUUUUCAGGCACCUGCAGUGUUAAGGAUUUGAGAUUGGUGCCAAUCAAUUUCCAGCAUUCUAGAGCUGGCUCUGUCCUUUUGGGUCAGUGGCUCAUGAGAAGUUAUUAUGGCCUUGUUCUUAUUCAAGAGCCUUGGCACUAUAAGGACCAAAUAAAGGGGCUUAACUAUAAAUGGAGCAAUUUAUUUACUUUUACCUUUGAAGGUGGCUCUCAG